GAAACACCCGGUCCCAUCCCGAACCCGGAAGUUAAGCACUGUUGCGCCGAUGGUACUGCGUCUUAAGGCGUGGGAGAGUAGGUCACCGCCAAAC
rnacentral:rRNA from 1 species